AGAGAAUAGAUACCCGGGUAGUCCUGGCAGUAAACGGUGCACGUUUGGUGUGGGCGCAAUCGACCGCGUCCGCGCCGGAGCUAAACGCGUUAAACGUGCCGCCUGGGAAGUACGGUCGCAAGAUUAAAACUCAAAGAAAUUGACGGAGACCCGCACAAGCGGUGGAGUAUGUGGCUUAAAUUCGAUGCAACGCGAAGAACCUUACCUGGUCUUGACAUGCAUUGUGUCUCCGGUGAAAGCCGGAUAGGGUAGCAAUACCCGCUUUGCACAGGUGCUGCAUGGCUGUCGUCAGCUCGUGUCGUGAGAUGUUGGGUUAAGUCCCGCAACGAGCGCAACCCC
rnacentral:rRNA from 1 species